rnacentral:rRNA from 1 species
UACGUAGGGUGCGAGCGUUGUCCGGAAUUAUUGGGCGUAAAGAGCUCGUAGGUGGUUUGUCACGUCUGCUGUGAAAUCCCGAGGCUCAACCUCGGGCCUGCAGUGGGUACGGGCAGACUGGAGUGCGGUAGGGGAGAAUGGAAUUCCUGGUGUAGCGGUGGAAUGCGCAGAUAUCAGGAGGAACACCGAUGGCGAAGGCAGUUCUCUGGGCCGUAACUGACGCUGAGGAGCGAAAGCGUGGGGAGCGAACAGG